UUCCUUGUAAUGAAAAGACAAAGUUAUAUGAAAUAGAAUGACACUUGCUACUCCAGUUAACUCCACUCUGUACCUGGGGGUUCUGACUCCAUAUGUGGUUUUGGCGGUGUGUUGCUGUGCUAGAUCCUUCCACAUUCAACAAGUGGCAGACUAUGUAAAAGCCUCCAGGCCUCUUUUGGACCUCAGAUGAAGGGCUGGGACUGUCAGUCCCUGACAGUUUCUGGAUUCUUCAGCAUUAUGCCCCAAAGCUGGCAGCCUUCUGGUUGGACUACAGCCAGAAAGAAAAACAGAUUUAGAGAGGUUGAGCAACUUAUCCAGCAUCUUGCAGUGAGCUCCCACGUGUGACCAAAGAUAACCAAGGAGAAGAUAUCUACUUCAAAAAUUUUACUUCAUCAAAAUCUUAACAGUAUAAACUCCCCAACCCUUAAUAACUACUACCACAAAAAGCCUGCCGUUUCUUUUUCUUACUAUUGCUAACUAUAUUAAUAUUUUACUUACCAAGUACUCAACUGUUCUAAAUAAGUGAACGUUUUAGAUAAUGUAAGCUUACCUGUUACAUGUCAAAACUUCAUCUAUUUACAUCAUGUUUGGUAAGAUGUUUCUAAAAGGGACUAUCUAUUUCCCAGUCUUAGAAUAUAUUUAGCAGAAUUUCUGAAUUAACACAUGGUAAGUUUUAGAAACAUGAGCUCUGAACAAAAAGAGUUUUUUAUUUAUAAUAACAGGAGUGGCUACAUGACGUGUAGGGCCCAGUGCAAAAUAAAAAUUCAGAGCUCUUGUUCA
rnacentral:lncRNA from 1 species